GGGACGAUGGCGCAGCUGGGAGCGCGUUCGACUGAAGUUUAACUUCAUCAUACAACACGAUUGUGUUAUCGAGAGGUCAUCGGUUCGAUCCCGGUUCGUCCCA
rnacentral:tRNA from 1 species